UACGAAGGGUGCAAGCGUUAAUCGGAAUUACUGGGCGUAAAGAGCGCGCAGGCGGUCGUUCAAGUCGCGUGUGAAAGCCCCCGGCUCAACUGGGGAGGGUCACGCGAUACUGAUCGACUCGAAGGCAGGAGAGGGUAGUGGAAUUCCCGGUGUAGUGGUGAAAUGCGUAGAUAUCGGGAGGAACACCUGAGGUGAAGACGGGUUGCUGGGCCGACACUGACGCUGAGUGCGCGAAAGCCAGGGGAGCAAACGGG
rnacentral:rRNA from 1 species